AGCGGCGGACGGGUGAGUAAUGCUUAGGAAUCUGCCUAUUAGUGGGGGACAACAUCUCGAAAGGGAUGCUAAUACCGCAUACGUCCUACGGGAGAAAGCAGGGGACCUUCGGGCCUUGCGCUAAUAGAUGAGCCUAAGUCGGAUUAGCUAGUUGGUGGGGUAAAGGCCUACCAAGGCGACGAUCUGUAGCGGGUCUGAGAGGAUGAUCCGCCACACUGGGACUGAGACACGGCCCAGACUCCUACGGGAGGCAGCAGUGGGGAAUAUUGGACAAUGGGGGGAACCCUGAUCCAGCCAUGCCGCGUGUGUGAAGAAGGCCUUUUGGUUGUAAAGCACUUUAAGCGAGGAGGAGGCUACCGAGAUUAAUACUCUUGGAUAGUGGACGUUACUCGCAGAAUAAGCACCGGCUAACUCUGUGCCAGCAGCCGCGGUAAUACAGAGGGUGCAAGCGUUAAUCGGAUUUACUGGGCGUAAAGCGCGCGUAGGUGGCUAAUUAAGUCAAAUGUGAAAUCCCCGAGCUUAACUUGGGAAUUGCAUUCGAUACUGGUUGGCUAGAGUAUGGGAGAGGAUGGUAGAAUUCCAGGUGUAGCGGUGAAAUGCGUAGAGAUCUGGAGGAAUACCGAUGGCGAAGGCAGCCAUCUGGCCUAAUACUGACACUGAGGUGCGAAAGCAUGGGGAGCAAACAGGAUUAGAUACCCUG
rnacentral:rRNA from 1 species